CCCUUGUCACGCGCACUCCUAAGGAAAAUUGGAUGAUACACCCUGCCUGGAUUCAGCGUUUGAAGUGGGCUGGCCUUUUACCUUUCGUACGACUUGUGUAGGCAACUUGUGCGGAAAUGGUAGAGGGCGAGCGACGAGGCUUCAACUCUACACGGGUACAAAUUGACCACUCGCUGCUUAGCUGCUUAGUGGACAGAUGGAGGCCCGAGACACACACGUUUCACUUUUGCUGGGAAGAGAUGGCUCCUACUCUCCAGGAUGUGUCGAUGCUGCUGGGACUAUCAUUGGUGGGUCAUCCCAUAGGACCGUUGUAGGCACCAGCUGAUUGGCAGGAGGGUAUGGCACUACGCUUUCAAGGUAUUCUUGCCGAAGCUGGGCCACUCACCUCGGAGGCUCACGGACCUAAGCUAGAUUGGUU